GGCACCUCAGUACCUGGGCAAGGGAUCAUGAAGAGACAAUGGGGAGCCCUGCUGGGGCUUCUGUGGGUCCAGAUUUGCUGGGUGAGAGGAGUGAAGGUGGAGCAGAGUCCUUCAGUCUUGAAGCUCCAGGAAGGAGCCAACUCUACUCUGAGGUGCAAUUUUUCUGACACAGUGACCAGUGUGCACUGGUUCCAGCAGAAUCCCAGAGGCAGCCUCACCACGCUGUUUUUCAUAACUUCAGGGACGAAGCAGAAUGAAAGGCUGAGUUCCACAGUGAAUUUUAAGGAACGGUACAGUACCCUACACAUCGCAGCCUCCCAGCUGGAAGACGCAGCCACCUACCUCUGUGCGGCGGAGGCACAGUGCUCCCCGGUGACCUGCAGCCUGUGCCCAAACUGCAGCUACCUCAGCCCCGCCCCUCCGCAGGGCUACACCAUGCAAGCUGUGCCUAUGAGGGACAAACGUCUCUCCCUGCACAUCGUAACCAUCCAGCCUGGAGACUCAGCUGCCUACUUCUGUGCAGCAAGGACACAGCGCUGCCCAGGCAGCCGCUACCUGUACUCAUACUUGUGA